GGAAUCCUAGUUAUCCGUGUUUCUCAGGAUUCUUACAACACAUCAUACACACAUCCAGGAUUGGGAACAAACACUGCUGGAAAGGUAUUAGAUGUCCAAGGAAAGAGCCAAGUCCAGUUACACAUGAUGAUCCCUACAUGAUCUUUGGGAACGUUUUUUAUUCCAUGGUCUUCUGUUGUCUUAAGUACUUCAGAUGUAGACUAGAAAAGACAAACAAUCUCCUGAAAAUAUCUCUACAGAAAGAGCUUUCUCCCAGAAC
rnacentral:lncRNA from 1 species